GCCAUCAUCAUCACCACCGAUUAGACUUCAAGCCAUCAUCACAACUAGUCUUCAAGCCACCCUCAUCAUCUGGUUGGACUUUAAGCCAUCAUAAACAUGGACACCCGAUCUGGUCCUUAAACCUUAGUUGACACCAUCGUCAUCUGAACCACAAAACCCUAGGCGCCACCAUCAUCGUCGGUCGGACUUCAAGCCACCGCCACCAGCACCGACCUCCACCACCUAAAACCACCGCACCACCAUUACCGCCUGACCACCACCAUCUCAUGGAUCUGAAGACGAAAAUAAAAAAAAAAACAAAAUUUGUAUACAUGAACACAACCAUCGUCAUGGAUCUUGGAUCUGGACUCAAAUCAAAAACGAAAUUUGAAGAGGUUUAAGGGUUUCUGAUUUGAGGUCGAGACUUUUCAAAAUUGGGUUUUUAAUUUGAAGUUUAGGGUUUUCAGAUUUGGGGUUUUCAAGUGUAGGGCUUUUCAUAUUUUCUGAUUUCAGAAAAUAUGCAGAUUGUGUGUGUGUUUUUUUGGAGAUAGAUUGAAGGUAUUGUGGGGUGCUGAGCUUUCUGAUGGUAAUGGUGCUCAGAUUUGAUGGUAAUGGUGCUCAGAUUUGAUGGCGGUGGUGAUAGGUUGUGAGGGGGUCGUGGUGGUGAUGUUGAUUUUAUGGUCUUUUGAUGUGGAUUAGGUUAUUAUUUUUUAAAAAAUGUAUGAAUUUUUGGGUUCAUAUUCGUCGUGUUCUUGAUGUUCUUCAGUUUUCCGGAAAAAAUACAUUUAAAAGAUGUUGAUUUAAAAGAUGUUAGUCUUUGUUAAUCAUAAAAUGUUGUGAUGAUGUUGAUUU